UGUGGCGGGGCGGGACGAAUGGAGCU
rnacentral:misc_RNA from 1 species